rnacentral:tRNA from 1 species
UUAGUUGAAGCUCAAAGACUUCGGAUCUUUAAAAGGAAAUCCCUUCUCCAAUUGAG